UACGUAGGUGGCAAGCGUUGUCCGGAUUUAUUGGGUUUAAAGGGUGCGUAGGCGGCCCCGUAAGUCAGUGGUGAAAUAUCUCAGCUUAACUGAGAGGGUGCCAUUGAUACUGCAGGGCUUGAGUACAGAUGAGGUAGGCGGAAUUGACGGUGUAGCGGUGAAAUGCAUAGAUAUCGUCAAGAACACCGAUAGCGAAGGCAGCUUACUAAGCUGUAACUGACGCUGAGGCACGAAAGUGUGGGGAUCAAACAGG
rnacentral:rRNA from 1 species